ACCCUUUUUUUGGUUCAUAAGGUGAUGAUUGGGUGUUUACGUACCUGUGUGACAUGUGCCGCCCUCAAACCUUGUUAUACAUUGGCACAUUACCCAUCUUAGG